AACGCGAAGAACCUUACCAGGGCUUGACAUGGAGAGGCUGUGUCCAGAGAUGGGCAUUCCCGCAAGGGCCUCUUGCACAGGUGCUGCAUGGCUGUCGUCAGCUCGUGUCGUGAGAUGUUGGGUUAAGUCCCGCAACGAGCGCAACCCUCGCCUUCAGUUGCCAUCACGUUUGGGUGGGCACUCUGAAGGAACUGCCGGUGACAAGCCGGAGGAAGGUGGGGAUGACGUCAAGUCCUCAUGGCCCUUAUGUCCUGGGCUACACACGUGCUACAAUGGCGGUGACAGCGGGAAGCCAGGUCGCGAGGCCGAGCUGAUCCCGAAAAGCCGUCUCAGUUCGGAUUGCACUCUGCAACUCGGGUGCAUGAAGGUGGAAUCGCUAGUAAUCGCGGAACAGCAUGCCGCGGUGAAUACGUUCCCGGGCCUUGUA
rnacentral:rRNA from 1 species